CCUGCCCUGGUAGACAGACGACAUGACAGCCGCUCCGACCUCUCAAGCAAAACAUCUUCCGUGUAUCAUGGAUAUAACGUCGCUUUAAACUUACCAUGAUAAUAUCAGACCAGUCAGCAGGAUAGGAAGGAACGACUGUCUGAUUUUAUCUGUUGUUGUUUCUUUAAGUAUCCGUGCUCCUAGUGGUGAGCUCAGCAGUGUCUGGCGGACUUGACUCAAUGCAUUAAAAUAAAAUCUCGAUCCCAGCGCCUCAAACAUUGCUUCAUGGUCACGCCACGAGUGGGAGUGUGCUUCAGUCCUACAGCCUGGAGGGAGGAAUAAACAAACACCUUUGGGAGAGAGGAGAGAGAGAGAGAAAGAAAGAAAGAGAGAGAGAAAGGAGACAGACUGCUAGUGAUGGGGGAGGGGAGAGAGGAGAAGGCGAGUCAUGAGACAGGAAAUGUAAGCCUGAG
rnacentral:lncRNA from 1 species